CCUACGGGGCGCUGCAGUCGAGAAUCUUCCGCAAUGGACGAAAGUCUGACGGAGCGACGCCGCGUGGUGGAUGAAGUCCUUAGGGACGUAAACACCUUUUAUGAAGGAGGAAAUUUUUGCCGUUACUUCAUGAAUAAGGGGCUCCCAACUCUGUGCCAGCCGGAGCGUUAAUACAGAGGCCUCAAGCGUUAUCCGGAUUCACUGGGCGUAAAGGGUGCGUAGGCGGUUAUAUCAGUCGGGUGUUAAAUCCUUGGGCUCAACCCAAGAAUCGCAUUCGAAAAAGUAGAACUAGAAGAAGGCAGAGGUAAGCAGAACUCUCGGUGUAGGGGUGAAGUCCGUUGAUAUCGAGGGGAAUACCAAAUGCGAAGGCAGCUUACUGGGACUUUCUUGACGCUGAGGCAAGAAAGCGUGGGUAGCGAAUGGGAUUAGAUACCCUAGUAGUC
rnacentral:rRNA from 1 species